GAUGAACGCUGGCGGCGUGCCUAAUACAUGCAAGUCGAGCGAACGGAUGAGAAGCUUGCUUCUCUGAUGUUAGCGGCGGACGGGUGAGUAACACGUGGAUAACCUACCUAUAAGACUGGGAUAACUUCGGGAAACCGGAGCUAAUACCGGAUAAUAUUUUGAACCGCAUGGUUCAAAAGUGAAAGACGGUCUUGCUGUCACUUAUAGAUGGAUCCGCGCUGCAUUAGCUAGUUGGUAAGGUAACGGCUUACCAAGGCAACGAUGCAUAGCCGACCUGAGAGGGUGAUCGGCCACACUGGAACUGAGACACGGUCCAGACUCCUACGGGAGGCAGCAGUAGGGAAUCUUCCGCAAUGGACGAAAGCCUGACGGAGCAACGCCGCGUGAGUGAUGAAGGUCUUCGGAUCGUAAAACUCUGUUAUUAGGGAAGAACAUAUGUGUAAGUAACUGUGCACAUCUUGACGGUACCUAAUCAGAAAGCCACGGCUAACUACGU
rnacentral:rRNA from 1 species